rnacentral:rRNA from 1 species
UGUUCUAACGUGGACCCGUAAUCCGGGUUGCGGACAGUGUCUGGUGGGUAGUUUGACUGGGGCGGUCUCCUCCUAAAGAGUAACGGAGGAGCACGAAGGUUGGCUAAUCCUGGUCGGACAUCAGGAGGUUAGUGCAAUGGCAUAAGCCAGCUUGACUGCGAGCGUGACGGCGCGAGCAGGUGCGAAAGCAGGUCAUAGUGAUCCGGUGGUUCUGAAUGGAAGGGCCAUCGCUCAACGGAUAAAAGGUACUCCGGGGAUAACAGGCUGAUACCGCCCAAGAGUUCAUAUCGACGGCGGUGUUUGGCACCUCGAUGUCGGCUCAUCACAUCCUGGGGCUGAAGUAGGUCCCAAGGGUAUGGCUGUUCGCCAUUUAAAGUGGUACGCGAGCUGGGUUUAGAACGUCGUGAGACAGUUCGGUCCCUAUCUGCCGUGGGCGCUGGAGAACUGAGGGGGGCUGCUCCUAGUACGAGAGGACCGGAGUGGACGCAUCACUGGUGUUCGGGUUGUCAUGCCAAUGGCACUGCCCGGUAGCUAAAUGCGGAAGAGAUAAGUGCUGAAAGCAUCUAAGCACGAAACUUGCCCCGAGAUGAGUUCUCCCUGAGACUUUAGGUCUCCUGAAGGAACGUUGAAGACGACGACGUUGAUAGGCCGGGUGUGUAAGCGCAGCGAUG